AGAGUUUGAUCAUGGCUCAGAUUGAACGCUGGCGGCAGGCCUAACACAUGCAAGUCGAACGGUAACAGAAAGCAGCUUGCUGCUUUGCUGACGAGUGGCGGACGGGUGAGUAAUGUCUGGGAAACUGCCUGAUGGAGGGGGAUAACUACUGGAAACGGUAGCUAAUACCGCAUAACGUCGCAAGACCAAAGAGGGGGACCUUCGGGCCUCUUGCCAUCGGAUGUGCCCAGAUGGGAUUAGCUUGUUGGUGGGGUAACGGCUCACCAAGGCGACGAUCCCUAGCUGGUCUGAGAGGAUGACCAGCCACACUGGAACUGAGACACGGUCCAGACUCCUACGGGAGGCAGCAGUGGGGAAUAUUGCACAAUGGGCGCAAGCCUGAUGCAGCCAUGCCGCGUGUAUGAAGAAGGCCUUCGGGUUGUAAAGUACUUUCAGCGGGGAGGAAGGGAGUAAAGUUAAUACCUUUGCUCAUUGACGUUACCCGCAGAAGAAGCACCGGCUAACUCCGUGCCAGCAGCCGCGGUAAUACGGAGGGUGCAAGCGUUAAUCGGAAUUACUGGGCGUAAAGCGCACGCAGGUGGUUUGUUAAGUCAGAUGUGAAAUCCCCGGGCUCAACCUGGGAACUGCAUCUGAUACUGGCAAGCUUGAGUCUCGUAGAGGGGGGUAGAAUUCCAGGUGUAGCGGUGAAAUGCGUAGAGAUCUGGAGGAAUACCGGUGGCGAAGGCGGCCCCCUGGACGAAGACUGACGCUCAGGUGCGAAAGCGUGGGGAGCAAACAGGAUUAGAUACCCUGGUAGUCCACGCCGUAAACGAUGUCGACUUGGAGGUUGUGCCCUUGAGGCGUGGCUUCCGGAGCUAACGCGUUAAGUCGACCGCCUGGGGAGUACGGCCGCAAGGUUAAAACUCAAAUGAAUUGACGGGGGCCCGCACAAGCGGUGGAGCAUGUGGUUUAAUUCGAUGCAACGCGAAGAACCUUACCUGGUCUUGACAUCCACGGAAGUUUUCAGAGAUGAGAAUGUGCCUUCGGGAACCGUGAGACAGGUGCUGCAUGGCUGUCGUCAGCUCGUGUUGUGAAAUGUUGGGUUAAGUCCCGCAACGAGCGCAACCCUUAUCCUUUGUUGCCAGCGGUCCGGCCGGGAACUCAAAGGAGACUGCCAGUGAUAAACUGGAGGAAGGUGGGGAUGACGUCAAGUCAUCAUGGCCCUUACGACCAGGGCUACACACGUGCUACAAUGGCGCAUACAAAGAGAAGCGACCUCGCGAGAGCAAGCGGACCUCAUAAAGUGCGUCGUAGUCCGGAUUGGAGUCUGCAACUCGACUCCAUGAAGUCGGAAUCGCUAGUAAUCGUGGAUCAGAAUGCCACGGUGAAUACGUUCCCGGGCCUUGUACACACCGCCCGUCACACCAUGGGAGUGGGUUGCAAAAGAAGUAGGUAGCUUAACCUUCGGGAGGGCGCUUACCACUUUGUGAUUCAUGACUGGGGUGAAGUCGUAACAAGGUAACCGUAGGGGAACCUGCGGUUGGAUCACCU
rnacentral:rRNA from 1 species